rnacentral:rRNA from 1 species
GACGAACGCUGGCGGCGCGCCUAACACAUGCAAGUCGAACGGAGCUGAGAGAAGCUUGCUUUUCUUAGCUUAGUGGCGAACGGGUGAGUAACGCGUGAGUAACCUGCCCUGGAGUGGGGGACAACAGUUGGAAACGACUGCUAAUACCGCAUAAGCCCACGAUCCGGCAUCGGAUUGAGGGAAAAGGAUUUAUUCGCUUCAGGAUGGACUCGCGUCCAAUUAGCUAGUUGGUGAGGUAACGGCCCACCAAGGCGACGAUUGGUAGCCGGACUGAGAGGGUGAACGGCCACAUUGGGACUGAGACACGGCCCAGACUCCUACGGGAGGCAGCAGUGGGGGAUAUUGCACAAUGGGGGAAACCCUGAUGCAGCGACGCCGCGUGGAGGAAGAAGGUUUUCGGAUUGUAAACUCCUGUCGUGAGGGACGAUAAUGACGGUACCUAACAAGAAAGCACCGGCUAACUACGUG